rnacentral:rRNA from 1 species
UGCAACGAUGAAGAACGCAGCGAAAUGCGAUACGUAGUGUGAAUUGCAGAAUUCCGCGAAUCAUCGAGUCUUUGAACGCAAGUUGCGCCCGAGGCUCGUCCGAGGGCAUUUCCGCCAGAGCGUCACCGCGUCCCUUCC